GACGAACGCUGGCGGCGUGCCUAAUACAUGCAAGUCGAACGCAGUGGGGACGGGUGAGUAACACGUGGGUAACCUCCCAUCAGAGGGGAUAACACUUGGAAACAGGUGCUAAACCGAUACUGAUGGAUGGACCCGCGGUUCAUUAGCUAGUUGGUGAGGUAACGGCUCACCAAGUCCACGAUGCAUAGGCGACCUGAGGGGAUGACCGGCAACACGUGGACGAAGACACGGACCAGAAUCCGACGGGAGGCACCAGUAGGGCAUCUUCGGCAAUGGACGAAAGUCUGACCGAGCAACUCCGCGUAAGUGAAGAAGGUUUUCGGAUCGUAAAACUCUGUUGUUAGAGAAGCGGUAUCUAACCAGAAAGCCACGGCUAACUACGUGCCAGCCGCCGCGGUAAUUC
rnacentral:rRNA from 1 species